CUAUGACCGAUCUGUUCACCUCGAUAGUUCAGACACAUAACCCGACAUGGGCUGAUUGCCAGCAGUUAUUAAUGACAUUGUUCAAUAAUGAGGAAAGGACAAGGAUUAAUCAAGCGGCCAUUAAGGCGCUAGAGGAGAGAGCCCGUGCUUUAAAUCAGGCCAAUCCGGCAGCAUGGGCCGCAACACAUUACCCUAACACCGAUCCUGACUGGAAUGUAAAU